rnacentral:lncRNA from 1 species
UAUUUAUACAAAAAUAAAAAAAAUAUAUUAUAUAAUAUAAAAUUAAUUGCCAAAAAAAAAUUGUUAAAUUAACGUACCUUGACCAAAUGAUCGAAAAGUCUGGCAUAAAUGUCCUUGGCCAAGGCGUCUCGUGUAUAAAGGGCUUGUUCAACGUUUAAAGUCACGUCUACGCUUUCAGACUGGCUUCCCCAUUUUGAUUCGAAUUCACGAGACGUCAACUUGUGCGACAACUGUUCCGCAGAGAUUCCGAAUAGUAAAGAUACUACAAGAUGAGUGUCAUUUAACAACUCGGUAAGGGCACAUAACCAUGCCCUUUAGAUUAAAUCAAUUUCCCUAUGUUCUUAAAUUUUUAACAAAUGAGAAAUAUAAUGAAUAUACUAACAUUGCUUAUCAGCAACUUGUGAAUAAUUUUCUUUCUCAACGAAUUGAAUAUUUCCAACAUGAAGUAUCCCUGCUACCAACUUGAAGAUGUCAGAUACUUCCCUGUUUUGUAUUCCCAUAACUCGUAAAGCUAAAGAAA